UGUGCGAAAAUGUCCUAAUAAGUCCCCAAAUCCGCAGCAGUGCUUAAGACAAUAGCAUGCCAGGGGGCUGAGGGAUAUGUGUGUUUUGGGGCAGGGUGGCGACCCCCGACGCCCGGGCCUGGCAGGCAGCGGAGGAGGAGGCUGAGCCAGAGCAGGUGUCUCUGCUGACAUCUGCUUCAUUUCAUGGGGGAAGCACAAACACCGUGCAACUCCAGCUCCAGCAGCACCGCUGAAGAGCUCCGACGACACACCACCAAGGAUUAACAACACACAUAAAGGCCAUAUAGACAAGCAACAGCAGACAAGGAAAACCACAAGGGAGUUAAAAGAAAUGACUCGGGGGUGGCGCACAUCAGCUGGCUCUCUAGGUAGACGAGAGUAAACACUCAUAGAAAACAGAGGAAAGAGGGAAGAUGACAGAGCUGUCAGCGCUCUGAGAGAUACGGAGCGGUGGCAACAUUUUCUCUGGCUGGCUGAGAAGGCUUUCUGCUUCGGUUUUCCCAUCAGUGGAGAGGCUGUUUUGCACAAGAUCCCAAGGCAGGGCACAGCCAUCCUUUUGACACCAGACUUUUUUUUCCACUCAGCUGGUACCUUCGCUGAGGCUGAAGU